AACGAACGCUGGCGGCAGGCUUAACACAUGCAAGUCGAACGCCCCGCAAGGGGAGUGGCAGACGGGUGAGUAACGCGUGGGAAUCUACCCAUCCCUACGGAACAACUCCGGGAAACUGGAGCUAAUACCGUAUACGCCCUUAGGGGGAAAGAUUUAUCGGGGAUGGACGAGCCCGCGUUGGAUUAGCUAGUUGGUGGGGUAAAGGCCUACCAAGGCGACGAUCCAUAGCUGGUCUGAGAGGAUGAUCAGCCACAUUGGGACUGAGACACGGCCCAAACUCCUACGGGAGGCAGCAGUGGGGAAUAUUGGACAAUGGGCGCAAGCCUGAUCCAGCCAUGCCGCGUGAGUGAUGAAGGCCUUAGGGUUGUAAAGCUCUUUCACCGGGGACGAUAAUGACGGUACCCGGAGAAGAAGCCCCGGCUAACUUCGUGCCAGCAGCCGCCGUAAGAC
rnacentral:rRNA from 1 species